GAUGAACGCUGGCGGCGUGCCUAAUACAUGCAAGUCGAGCGAACAGAUGAGGAGCUUGCUCCUCUGACGUUAGCGGCGGACGGGUGAGUAACACGUGGAUAACCUACCUAUAAGACUGGGAUAACUUCGGGAAACCGGAGCUAAUACCGGAUAAUAUAUUGAACCGCAUGGUUCAAUAGUGAAAGACGGUUUUGCUGUCACUUAUAGAUGGAUCCGCGCCGCAUUAGCUAGUUGGUAAGGUAACGGCUUACCAAGGCAACGAUGCGUAGCCGACCUGAGAGGGUGAGCGGCCACACUGGAACUGAGACACGGUCCAGACUCCUGCGGGAGGCAGCAGUAGGGAAUCUUCCGCAAUGGGCGAAAGCCUGACGGAGCAACGCCGCGUGAGUGAUGAAGGUCUUCGGAUCGUAAAACUCUGUUAUUAGGGAAGAACAAAUGUGUAAGUAACUAUGCACGUCUUGACGGUACCUAAUCAGAAAGCCACGGCUAACUACGUG
rnacentral:rRNA from 1 species